CACUGCUAUGCUUGGCUGUGGGGACGACAGUCAAGUCCUACUGCUUGAGUAGCAGGUACUUAUGGACUGGGUCAUCUCCAGGGCCUCACCAAGUGAAAGUUGUUGAGGCCCGCUAUCUGUCCGAAGAUUUCAAUAAUACGGUACUGGGUGGAAAACAUCAAUAAUAAAACCUAGAAAAAGUCAAAGCCGGAAAAACAGGGUAAGGCAGAGGCACCAAGCUGAGCUCUGUCUUCUCACUAAAGUCAAUAGACAGGGUCUGUCGGAAACAGACAGCAGCAACAUGACAGUUCUGGAAUGUGGAAGUGGGAACCCCACCCUGCAUAAACCCAGAAUCGAGGUUCCAUAAAACUGAGAUGCACUGAAGCCAACGGUACCAUGACCCCCUCCUUCGGAGCAUCCUGGUGACAUCUGGGUGAGCUCUUUGGAUUCAAAGCCACAAAGCGGAUGCCUCAAGAGGCCCCCAGUGAGAUGACAUUCAGCUUAUCUACAAAUAACCAGUGUGCACUUGGUACUGGGCAUGGACAUGUAGUGACUGCAGGCUGGUGCUGUGCCUACGGGGAGGGCCUUCCUGGCCGCAGUUCUCGGGUGGCAUGGAGUCUGGCUGGCAGUGAACAAGAAGGAUCGCAGGCAAGGCCCUUUGUACCUGGGAGGAGAGGGACCGUGAAGGACACAAACGGGGCGAGGGGACAAUGGCUAUCUGGACAGGAAGGUUGGAGAGGCCUUACUGGGAAGCCACCUAGAGCUGAGACCUCGAGGAGGAAGCACCAGCCUGCAACACCUUUAGGCUGUGCCUGAUCCUGCGGCCCCUAGGCGCCCACAGAAGGGGGGAGUUUCAGGGACCGGCCAGCUCUGGGGCUACCAGGUGCCAUGUAUGGAGAAAUCUGCAGCUCUCCAGCCGUCGGUGCGGAGACCACAUCUUCCACAGCCUAGGGGGCUCAUCCCUUUCUUAUUAUUUGUCUUUCCUAAUCAGAGGUUUAUGAAUGACCAAUUACACUCAGUGGUUAAUUGCCCUUCA